rnacentral:rRNA from 1 species
AUUGAACGCUGGCGGCAGGCCUAAUACAUGCAAGUCGAGCGGAGCGGCGGACGGGUGAGUAAUGCCUAGGAAUCUGCCUGGUAGUGGGGGAUAACGUCCGGAAACGGGCGCUAAUACCGCAUACUAUCAGAUGAGUUUCGGCGGGAUUAGCUGGUGGGUGGGGUAAUGGCCUACAAAGUCGACGAUCCGUCACUGGUCGGAGGGGAGGAUCAGUCACACUGGAACUGAGACACGGUCUAGACUCCUACGGGAGGCAGCAGUGGGGAAUAUUGGACAAGGGGCGAAAGCCUGAUCCAGCCAUGCCGCGUGUGUGAAGAAGGUCUUCGGAUUGUAAAGCACUUUAAGUUGGGAGGCGUUACCAACAGAAUAAGCACCGGCUAACUUCGUGCCAGCAGCCGCGGUAAUAC